GGUUAAUGACGAUUUCAGCYUUCAUAUCUCUAAAUAAAACACGCACUGAUGAUGUUCAGUACACUAGUCAUGAAAAAGGUUGAAAACAUUAAGUUAUCUUAAUGCCAAAUGAAAAUCUUUGCACAAGGUCGACAACAUGAAACUAAUAAACACUUGCUUUGUCCUAUGUUUUGCUUUGGCCACAAGUACGACUGCGCCGCCCAUCAACGCAACCACCUCUGCCCCGACGACAAGCCCCAUCGAUAAGUCUACUUCGGCUCCAACGAUGCAGCCGCCCGUCAACGCAACCACCUCUGCCCCGACGACAAGCCCCAU